CUCCUCUUGAGUGAAGAAUAAGAGGUAGGAUCUGCUCCAUGCAUAAAGUAAAUUGCCGCAGUAUUUUGACUGUGCUAAGGUAGCAAAAUAAUUUGGCUCUUCAUUAGAGUCUGGAAUGAAUGAUUUGACAAAGUCAAAACUGUCUCACUUAUUAUUUCAGAAAUUGGACUGUUUGUAAAAAUACAAACAUGGGAGAGAGGGACGAAAAGACCCUAUAGAUCUUUAUUUUAUUAUUGAAUAUUCCUAUGGAGUUUUUAAUAGGUUAAAUUUACUUGGGAUAAGACUAAAAGUGAAUUUUGGUUCGAGGAAAAGAUUGAUUGAUCGAUAAGAUGAUGAAGAGUAAGAUAAGUUACCUUAGGGAUAACAGGACAAUUUUUUUAUUAAGAACUUAUUAGUAAAGGAGUUUGUCACCUCGAUGUUGAAUUAAGUUUACUUUUAUUCGGAGGAGGAUAAGGAGUUAGUCUGUUCGACUAUUAAAAACUU
rnacentral:rRNA from 1 species